rnacentral:lncRNA from 1 species
CUACUUGGGCUUUCCAGACUUUGCAGAGAAGAUCCUUCCAACCUACUGUCUAGAGGGCAGAGGCAAGGCUGCAAGCAUUCCGGAAGUCCAACAGGGGAGGGAGAGUGGAGGAAGGAGGCGUCUCAACAUCUGGAACCAUAUUUCCAUCAGAUGUGUUUCUCAAGCACUCUGCCACUCCUUUCUACCUCUCCUGCGUUUGAUCUGAGGACGGCCCGUUCCACAGGAACACAAAGGCACAGAAGAUGAAGUAACUUGCCCACGGCCACACGGUUGACACCAUGAAGGCUGAACAAAGGAUAUCUGGGGGCAAAAUCUGACCCAUGGGCUGCCCAUUGCCACCUCUGGGCAGCCCUCCUUGAUGGUGUGGAGUCCGCGGUCCGCAUUGGUUAACUUAACUGUGCUUCCUCAGAUCCAGUCUGGAAUUAAUUAUUGAAUUGUAUGCAUUUUCAAUGCCAUCCUCAAGCUAACAGCCAACUAUGCGGGGGAAUAAAACGGAGCAGAGAACCGAGUUGGGUUCCAGAGACCCCAGAUUGUCUUCAUUUGCAGUUGCCAGGUUCCCUGCAGCCCGGGUCUGUGGAUUUCCCGCGGCUCAGCGCCCGCAGCUCAGGCUCCGUGGAGCCCGGCGGCAUGGACGAGGCGUCGCGCGCGCCCUCUAGUGGAGAAAAAGGGUCACUGCCGAACGCCAGCUGCGGACCGUCGAGAGUUCCUUGGGCCAUGGCUCCUGCCGGGAGCAGCAGCCCUGGGGCCGGGAUCCAGGAUGCAGAGGCGAGAAAAUGAACUGCCCGGCCACCACGAAGACAACCCACCCCUUGCCAGUCACCCCUCAAACUACUGACAAUGUCAACAACAAUAAUUAUAACAAUCAUAUUAAUAAGUAGAAUGACAAAUAUAAUAAUAUUUAACAGUUUGUGAUUUUCAGCCCACAAGGUUUCGCCUACUGUGUAGAUUACUCGGGACUCUGCAGGCCAGUAGGCCAUGUAUAGAUGGACAGAAAGAGGUUUGUUAUCAGAAAUGGGCUCACAUGACUGAGGAUACUGUGAAGUCCCACGACCUGCUGUUUGCAAGUAGGGGAUCAGGGAAGCCAGUGGAGUAGGUCAGUCCAAGCCCAAAGGCCGAGAACCAGAGGAGCCGACGGCCCAGCUCAAGCAGAAAGAGUGGCACUCACCCUUCCUCUGCCUUUUGUUCUCUUCAGGCCCUCAGCAGAUUGCAGGACGCCCCGACACAAGGAAGGGCGAUCUUGACUCAGUCAGUCCACGGAUGCACGCUAACCCCUUCCAGAAACACCCUCACAGACACACCUAGAAAUAAUGUGGGGUUUUUGGUGUUUUACUUUUAAUUGCAUUUAUUUUAAUGCCGGAUGUAUUUCCGCGUUGCCAGCUCCUGAGCAUCUCUGAGCCCAAUCAAGUUGACACAUACAAUUAACCAUCACGCUGUGUCAGUUCAAUCAUUAAAAAUACGCAACACUCAGCCGGGCGCGGUGACUCACGACUGUAAUCCCAGCACUUUGGGAGGCUGAGGUGGGUGGAUCACAAGGUCAGGAGUUCGAGACCAGCCUGGCCAACUGGUGAAACGCCGUCUCUAAUAAAAAUACAAAAAAUUAGCUGGUCGUGGUGGCAGGCACCUGUAAUCCCAGCUGCUCAGGAGGCUGAGGCAGGAGAAUCGCUUGAACCCGAGAGGCAGAGGUUGCAGUGAGCCGAGAUCACGCCAUUUCAGUCCAGCUGGGAGACAGAGCAAGACUCCGUCUUGAGAACAAACAAACAAACAGACAGACAGACAAAAAAACACGCAACACUCUAUUAACGCAUGAAUGUAUUCUCACCGAACAAGAUUCAAACAGUAUGAAUGAACAUAUUGCAAAUGUUUUUAAGUGUUUUUGAAAACUUUCAUUUUGAAACAAUUUCAAACUUAGUUGAAAAGUUGCAAGGAUGGCACAAAAACCUUCUAUUAAUACAUAGCUUUUAGCAGGAUUCCUCAGUUGUUAACAAUUUGCCACAUUUGCUUUAUAAUUUUUGCUCUGUCUCUACAUACUUUUAAGAUCUGAGCCAUUUGAAAUAUAAUGCCCCCUUAUAAUAGUUCCGUGGGUCUUUCCUAAAAACAAGUCAUUAUCUUCCAUAAUCCAGUACAGUUGUUCAAAUCAAGAAAAUUAACAUGGAUGCAAUAGUAUUAUCUCAUCUGCAGACCUUCUUCAAAUUUCACCAAUUGUCUCAAUAAUACCAUCCUUUUUAGCAUUUUUUUGGCUGAUUCCCACUACAAACUAUGAAAGCACAAAUGUCUCUCCUCUGCCUUGCCCAGAGGUUCCUCUUUCAAUCAUAGGGGAGGUGCCGAUAGGGUCUGUCUUUCAUUUUUCUCAAUGGAAGCACAUUCCCCACUUCUCAAUUUGCCUUGGGAGCUCUUAUUUCAAUCUCUUCUCAAUCCUUCGAAGCAGGACUCCUCCCUAGCCAUAUUCUACACAGAAGGAAACAGAAACUCAGCGUGAGGACGGCUCCUGCCCUGCGACCUCAGGUCCCCCAGCUGCCUUGCUAAGAGUUGAACCGUGCCCCCAGCCCCUACCCUGAUACAUUUCAGCAAAUUGAUAUGCAAGGCCCCUUUCCAGGCCCUGGGAACAUGAAGAGGAAGUUGCUGAUGGCUGUGCUCAAAGACUUCCCAGGCUAGUGCAAGGGACAGGAGAGGGCGGCCCUGCUGGAAGCUCAGUGAGGAGCCCUGCGGUGGGGAGUGGUUGAAGCCGUUAAGUCCUCUGGUGACCUAUGGGUGUGGAGGCUGGACCAGAGGGCCUUAAGGGGUAGCCCUGCAGGUCCCAACCCCAUUCUUGGUGGAAGUGUUGGCUGAGGUCUCUGGAGUUGAGUGGGGUGGCAGAACUGGGCACUCUCAUGACAGGAGAGGGGGGAUGGGCAGGAGAGGUGUUCAGAAAAGGAGUGCAGGGAGGGCGGAAGAGCCGCUGUGUGAGUUUCCCCCAGCCCCUUGAGCAGCUGUGGGCCUCCUGCCCAGUCCCCAUGCUGGGACCGAGAGGGCAAAGCGUGCAGAGAAGGCUGCACACCCUGCAGCCUCAGCCAGCGCGUGAUAGGGGAGCUCUGGGCAGGGACAAAGCUGCAGUCCCUGUCCCUGAAUGUCGGGGCGGGGGGGGGCGGGGAUAGAAAGGAGAAAAUGGGGCAGAGAGAAAAGAAAGCGGUGGCGUGCACAUGCCCAGGCCCUUUGCUCCACUUUCCAUGCUAUAUGAGACACUUCCCAAAAUUCACACUCCCUGGGACCCUGAGGAUGGGGGCUGUAUCAGAG